AUAAAUUUUUUCCAACAACUUUAGUUUAAAAAGUACAACAUAUCAGUACCAAACCAACCUUAAUUUAACAAGGGCAGAAAGGAUGGAUUAAAAGCUAUCUAACAUAGGUUAUCGGAGACUAAUUAACGGCUUGGAUUGAAUAUUGACUUCGAAGUCGUUCCUGAUUAUAAUGAGUUUUUGCCGUAGCUAACGGGUAACGAAUCAUCUGUAUGUGUACUAAUGAUAAUGAGUUUUUGUCGUAGCUAACAGGCAACGAGUGGUAUCAUGGUCCAGCCGCGUCUAGCAAAGAUUGAUACGUUCACAUGCGACAUGAAAGCAGACUCUUUUUUCGUAAUUAUCACGUCCGGUGACUCCGGUCAAUGCACACACUACUAGUCAAUGCACACACUAGUACACUACUCUAGAAGGUGGUUGUGUAUUUUAACUACAAAAUAUUGAAAUAUUGUAAUAUGUUUAAUUAUAAUAAUUUAUA
rnacentral:lncRNA from 1 species